AAGUAAUAAAAAAAUAUAAAACAAAAGUGUAAGAGUAAAAUGCCAAAAUCGUCCCAGAGGUUUGGUUAUAUUUGUUUGAUGCAUCCAGAAGGACAAAGAUGUCAUUCACCUUAAUAGAAAAAAUAAACCGAGUUAGUGAUUUUGAUGGAACUGACAAUAAAACGCAAACCUGAAGAACCUAAGUAGUUAAUGUGGUAAAACAUCGGAUAUCGGUCAAGGACCGAUAUUUGAGAUAUCAGUUAUCGCGGUGGGAUAUCGGUGGGAUAUUGGUAAUUUUAAUAUCAUGCUAAAUUUAUAUAUAGCAAUUAAUGCGGUAAAAAAUCGGAUAUCGGUUAUCGCGGUGGGAUAUUGGUAGUUUUAAUAUGAUGCAGAAUUUAUAUAUAUAGCAAUUUAACACUAACAAUUCAGUAUACUCUCCUACCAUCAAC
rnacentral:lncRNA from 1 species